rnacentral:rRNA from 1 species
UAGGGAAUCUUCGGCAAUGGGGGGAACCCUGACCGAGCAACGCCGCGUGAGUGAAGAAGGUUUUCGGAUCGUAAAGCUCUGUUGUUAAGGAAGAACGAGUGUGAGAAUGGAAAGUUCAUACUGUGACGGUACUUAACCAGAAAGGGACGGCUAACUACGUGCCAGCAGCCGCGGUAAUACGUAGGUCCCGAGCGUUGUCCGGAUUUAUUGGGCGUAAAGCGAGCGCAGGCGGUUAGAUAAGUCUGAAGUUAAAGGCAGUGGCUCAACCAUUGUAGGCUUUGGAAACUGUUUAACUUGAGUGCAGAAGGGGAGAGUGGAAUUCCAGGUGUAGCGGUGAAAUGCGUAGAUAUAUGGAGGAACACCGGUGGCGAAAGCGGCUCUCUGGUCUGUAACUGACGCGGAGGCUCGAAAGCGUGGGGAGCGAACAGG